UACAGAGGGGGCAAGCGUUGUUCGGAAUUACUGGGCGUAAAGGGCGCGUAGGCGGCCUUCUAAGUCGAACGUGAAAUCCCCGGGCUCAACCCGGGAACUGCGUCCGAUACUGGAAGGCUUGAAUCCGGGAGAGGGAUGUGGAAUUCCAGGUGUAGCGGUGAAAUGCGUAGAUAUCUGGAGGAACACCGGUGGCGAAGGCGACAUCCUGGACCGGGAUUGACGCUGAGGCGCGAAAGCCAGGGGAGCAAACGGG
rnacentral:rRNA from 1 species